rnacentral:rRNA from 1 species
GAUGAACGCUGGCGGCGUGCCUAAUACAUGCAAGUCGAGCGAACGGACGAGAAGCUUGCUUCUCUGAUGUUAGCGGCGGACGGGUGAGUAACACGUGGAUAACCUACCUAUAAGACUGGGAUAACUUCGCGAAACCGGAGCUAAUACCGGAUAAUAUUUUGAACGGCAUGGUUCAAAGGUGAAAGCGGGUUUUCCUGUAACUUAUAGAUGGAUCCGCGCUGCAUUAGCUAGUUGGUAAGGUAACGGCUAACCAAGGCAACGAUGCAUAGCCGGCCUGAGAGGGUGAUCAGCCACACUGGAACUGAGACACGGUCCAGACUCCUACGGGAGGCAGCAGUAGGGAAUCUUCCACAAUGGGCGAAAGCCUGACGGAGCAACGCCGCGUGAGUGAUGAAGGUCUUCGGAUCGUAAAACUCUGUUAUUAGGGAAGAACAGAUGUGUAAGUAACUGUGCACAUCUUGACGGUACCUAAUCAGAAAGCCACGGCUAACUACGUG